GAGAUAGGUAAGACGUGUGGGUGAGAACCGUCAAGGUUCGAGUCGAGCGAAAGCGAGACAACGUUGCGAAGCAACGGCCCGAAGGGCGAGGCGUAAGCCGAGUCAUCCCGCACGACCCACCA
rnacentral:sRNA from 1 species